rnacentral:rRNA from 1 species
GACGGAGGAUGCAAGCGUUAUCCGGAAUGAUUGGGCGUAAAGCGUCUGCAGGUGGCAGUUCAAGUCUGCUGUCAAAGACCGGGGCUUAACUUCGGAAAGGCAGUGGAAACUGAACAGCUAGAGUAUGGUAGGGGCAGAGGGAAUUCCUGGUGUAGCGGUGAAAUGCGUAGAGAUGCGGAGGAACACCGAUGGCGAAGGCAGCCCCCUGGGCUGACACUGACGCUCAGGCACGAAAGCGUGGGGAGCAAACAGG